GAAAUAAAAGUGAACAAGGGCACAUGGGGGAUGCCUGGGCUCUGGAAGGCGAUGAAGGACGUGAUAAGCUGCGAAAAGCCGCGGGGAUUGGCAAAUACGAAUCGAUCCGCGGAUAUCCGAAUGGGGCAACCCGGCACGCGAAGAGCGUGCCAUUCCACUGUAUGGUGGAAGGCGAACGUGGGGAACUGAAACAUCUAAGUACCCAUAGGAGAAGAAAACAAAAGUGAUUCCCGGAGUAGUGGCGAGCGAAACGGGAAAAGCCCAAACCGGAUCUGUUUCGGCAGGUACGGGGUUGUAGGACCGGGACAUGGCAAGACAUCAAGGAAGUGGAACCAUCUGGAAAGUUGGAUCAAAGAGGGUGAAAAUCCCGUACACGUAUCCCUGACGAAGCCUACCGGUAUCCUGAGUAGCGCGGGACACGAGUAAUCCUGCGUGAAACCGGCGGGACCAUCCGCCAAGGCUAAAUACUCUCCGGAGACCGAUAGUGAACCAGUACCGUGAGGGAAAGGUGAAAAGAACCUCGAACAGAGGAGUGAAAUAGACCCUGAAACCAUGUGCCUGCAAGCGGUCGGAGUCCCGAUUCAUCGGGAUGACGGCGUGCCUUUUGCAUAAUGAACCUACGAGUUACUCUUGCCGGCAAGGUUAAAUACAAGGAUGUAUGCAGCCGCAGCGAAAGCGAGUCUUCACAGGGCGUGGAGUCGGCAGGAGUAGACGCGAAACCAAGUGAUCUACCCUUGGGCAGGUUGAAGUAUUGGUAACACAAUAUGGAGGACCGCACCGGUAAACGUUGAAAAGUUUUCGGAUGACCUGAGGGUAGGGGUGAAAGGCUAAUCAAACUUGGAGAUAGCUCGUACUCCCCGAAAUGCAUUUAGGUGCAGCCUCGGACUACGAACUUAUAUGAGGUAGAGCUACUGAUUGGAUGCGAGGGCUUCGCCGCCUAUCAAGUCCAGCCAAACUCCGAAUGCGUAUAAGUGAUAUCCGGGAGUGAGGGCGCGGGUGCUAAGGUCCGUGUCCGAGAGAGGAACAACUCAGACCAUCAGCUAAGGUCCCGAAAUAUAUGCUCAGUUGCAUUUAACGAAGUCCUGCCGCAGCGACAGCUAGGAUGUUGGCUUGGAAGCAGCCAUUCAUUUAAAGAGUGCGUAACAGCUCACUAGUCGAGUGGCGGGGCGUGGAUAAUAAUCGGGCAUAAGCAUAUUACCGAAGCUAUGGAACCAUAUUCUGGUUGGUAGGGGAGCAUUCCAUCACGGCGUCGAAGGCGCACCGCGAGGUGUUCUGGAG
rnacentral:rRNA from 1 species